UACGGAAGGGGCAAGCGUUGUUCGGAAUCAUUGGGCGUAAAGCGCGUGUAGGCGGCCCGGUAAGUCCGCUGUGAAAGUCCAGGGCUCAACCCUGGGAUGCCGGUGGAUACUGUCGGGCUCGAGUCCGGAAGAGGCGAGUGGAAUUCCUGGUGUAGCGGUGAAAUGCGCAGAUAUCAGGAGGAACACCAAUGGCGAAGGCAGCUCGCUGGGACGUGACUGACGCUGAGACGCGAAAGCGUGGGGAGCAAACAGG
rnacentral:rRNA from 1 species